GGCCUAACACAUGCAAGUCGAGCGGCAGCGGGGGGAAGCUUGCUUCCCCGCCGGCGAGCGGCGGACGGGUGAGUAAUGUCUGGGGAUCUGCCCGAUGGAGGGGGAUAACCACUGGAAACGGUGGCUAAUACCGCAUAACCUCUGUGGAGUAAAGUGGGGGACCUUCGGGCCUCACGCCAUCGGAUGAACCCAGAUGGGAUUAGCUAGUAGGUGGGGUAAUGGCUCACCUAGGCGACGAUCCCUAGCUGGUCUGAGAGGAUGACCAGCCACACUGGGACUGAGACACGGCCCAGACUCCUACGGGAGGCAGCAGUGGGGAAUAUUGCACAAUGGGCGCAAGCCUGAUGCAGCCAUGCCGCGUGUAUGAAGAAGGCCUUCGGGUUGUAAAGUACUUUCAGCGGGGAGGAAGGCAAGAGCGUAAAUAGCGNUGUUGAUUGACGUUACCCGCAGAAGAAGCACCGGCUAAG
rnacentral:rRNA from 1 species